rnacentral:rRNA from 1 species
ACAAACGCUGGCGGCAUGCCUAACACAUGCAAGUCGAACGGACAGAACAGGGAAGCUUUUCGGAGUGGAACUGGAAAGUUAGUGGCGGAUGGGUGAGUAACGCGUGGACAACCUACCUUGUAAAGGGGAAUAACCUCGAGAAAUCGAAGCUAAUACCCCAUAAUAACCUUGCUUCGCAUGAAGUAAGGAGGAAAGGCGGCCUUAGCGCUGUCGAUACAAGAUGGGUCCGCGUCUGAUUAGCUAGUUGGUGAGGUAAAGGCUCACCAAGGCGACGAUCAGUAGCCGGCCUGAGAGGGUGAACGGCCACAUUGGGACUGAGGCACGGCCCAAACUCCUACGGGAGGCAGCAGUGGGGAAUCUUCCGCAAUGGGCGAAAGCCUGACGGAGCAAUGCCGCGUGAGUGAAGAAGGCCUUCGGGUUGUAAAACUCUGUCCUUAUCGAAGAGAGAGUGUUGUAGUAACUGACAAUACUAGGACGGUAGAUGAGGAGGAAGCCCCGGCUAACUAGGUG